GAGGGUAUAGCUCAGUAGUACAGAGUGUGCUUAACAUGCACAAGGUGCUGGGUUCAAUCCCCGGUACCGCCA
rfam:Camelus ferus isolate Naran unplaced genomic scaffold scaffold100715, whole genome shotgun sequence.